AGAGUUUGAUCAUGGCUCAGAACGAACGCUGGCGGCAGGCCUAACACAUGCAAGUCGAGCGCGCCCUUCGGGGUGAGCGGCGGACGGGUUAGUAACGCGUGGGAACGUACCCAGAUCUAAGGAAUAGCCACUGGAAACGGUGAGUAAUACCUUAUACGCCCUUAGGGGGAAAGAUUUAUCGGAUUUGGAUCGGCCCGCGUUAGAUUAGGUAGUUGGUGGGGUAAUGGCCUACCAAGCCUACGAUCUAUAGCUGGUUUUAGAGGAUGAUCAGCAACACUGGGACUGAGACACGGCCCAGACUCCUACGGGAGGCAGCAGUGGGGAAUCUUGGACAAUGGGGGCAACCCUGAUCCAGCCAUGCCGCGUGAGUGAAGAAGGCCUUAGGGUCGUAAAGCUCUUUCGCCUGUGAUGAUAAUGACAGUAGCAGGUAAAGAAACCCCGGCUAACUCCGUGCCAGCAGCCGCGGUAAU
rnacentral:rRNA from 1 species